AUCGAUAUGUCAUUUUACGUAUGUUGGGUUAUCCGAAUGUGAUUUCCAAUUGCCACCAGGAUCGGACACGAUUCGACAUACCCGGCCGAAACGCUUCUCGAUCACGAUCGAGAUCGAACGCUCCACGCGCGGCAAUGCCGGGGCCAGCACGCAAACGCAAGAGGUGCACUGUAUUUUAAAUUCGAGCGUUAACCUUCCCUCUCUUGGGCCGCCGUGCUCCUUCACGCGCGAGAGAUCUGAGCUCGACUGUGGCGACUUACACCGUUGCCGUUAACACUCCCCGUCGCCGAGCUCCUCACCAACCGCGAGAUGCCGAGAGAUGCCGCGUUCGUUAUCGUGCAUCCGACCGACCAGUACUGCGAGAAAGUCUGUUCACCAUUAAAUCUUCCGUUCCACCGCUUGAAUCACACCACAGUUCACGCCAGGUAUUUCUCAAUGGACUGGUACGCGACGAACGUUCGUUGCGCUCGAGAAAGGAACGUUUCGCCGUUAAAAGACCUCUGAUCUGCAAGAUGUAUUUGUUAACAAGCAAAACGUACACGUUUAUCGUAGAAUGGAGACUCGUCGCGGCAGAAUAGUCACCUGGCGUCACGUUGGGCGCGGUUUGACUGGUUCUCGGAGUCGUUUAUGUUCCCAGUCGUGUUUCCAGUGGUCGCGCCUUGCCUCGCGUCGUUCCCCAAGCCCACUACCGUGUCUACCGUAAACCGCUAUAGUAUUAUUACUACUACCACCUACGAACGCUGAAAGGUAAAGCUUGUCACGUGACACGGUGCGGCACAAUACGUCACGCAGGUUGUGAAACAGGAAUUUGAAAUUGCGCGGAGUUACCUGUUGAAAAAGAAAAAAAGAAAGAAAGUAUCGUAUAACAUUCUUGAUAUUCUGUUAAUUCAGGUAUAUAAGUGUAUGUUAAUUUUAAAAAUAUUGUUAAUAUCUAUGCAUUAGUAGCCAGUUGUUUAAAUAAUCGUUUUGCAUAAAUUUUGUAAUGAAGUUGCUCAUUUGAG